GAGGGAAAGUUGAAAUAGAACUUUGAAGAGAGAGUUCAAGAGAACGUGAAACCGUCCAGAGAAUAACGAGUGGAUGCUGCUUAACCGACCUGACGGGGAGUCCGCAAGGGCUCCUGCAGUUGGGAUGGGCAUCACACCCGGGGCACGCUGGCGGGCCAGCUGUUAGGUGGGAGGCGGACUCGGCUCUGGUCGGGGACACGCUCUACCAGGCAGGACCGUCGUGCACCGGGGUACGGACUACCUCGUAGCCGAGGUCGGUCGUUGCUGUGUGGUGUGAAAAGCGGAAUCGAUUCGACCCGUCUUGAAACACGGACCAAGGAGUCUAACAUAUACGCGAGUCAAGCGGGCCACCGAACCCGUACGGCGAUAACGAAAGUGAGCGGUAUGAUCUCGACCCGUCAAGGGCAGGGCGCAAUACCAGCCCGCUCAAUCCGGAGCGGAGCUUGAGCGUAUACGUUGGGACCCCAAAAUGGUGAACAGGGGUGAUCUCUCCUUUUUUUUUUU
rnacentral:rRNA from 1 species